CCUUUGCCUCCAUCUCACUAUUGAAAACUUGGAGAAGUGUUUCCCAAAACUAAGGAUAUGAAAAUCCUCUAUUAUUUUUCUGUUCUCCUACUCGUUCUUUCCAUUAGUUUUGGAAAUCAAAUUCAAUUGCUGAAGGCAAAAGAUUGUCAAACCAUGUUUCAUGACACUCGUUGUACUUCAAAAGGUGUUAAUUGUGACUUUGAGUGCCAGUAUUUUCAUGGGAACUCAGCAAAGGGAAUAUGUGAUUCAAUCGACGAAUGCAAUUGCCAUUACAAAUGUUAAAUUGUGUGUGAAUUGCAAGACAGUGAAUAAAACAACAAAAUAAUGAAAGUGGUUUCGCUAUUUCAGAAAUCUUUCCAAAAUGCUUGCUGUAUAUCAGUUCUAAAGUUAGAACUUUCAUAGUAGAUUUACUCCAUGAA